AGUGCCGUCCCGGAGUGGAUGGCUCUCUUAAGUGCAAAGUUCAAGACACAGAUUCCUAUGGAAGCGAUGGUAUUUAAAGAGCACAAAUUCAUUGCACUCAAAGAUACGACAAGCGUAGAAGAUUUAAAGAACCUAUCGAAGGGAAAGAGGAAACAUUUUGGUUUUUUUGUUCAAGUGCAUGCCUGAGAAGACCACUUCAGCCAAUGAAUCCCCAGAGAAGACCACUUCAGCAAAUGAAUCUCCAGAGAAGACCACCUCAGCCAAAGAAUCUCUGAAGCAGAAACGUCACGAUAUCAUACUGUCUGAUUCUUCAGAGGACGAGUUGGAAG